UAGGGAAUCUUCGGCAAUGGACGAAAGUCUGACCGAGCAACGCCGCGUGAGUGAAGAAGGUUUUCGGAUCGUAAAACUCUGUUGUUAGAGAAGAACAAGGACGUUAGUGACUGAACGUCCCCUGACGGUAUCUAACCAGAAAGCCACGGCUAACUACGUGCCAGCAGCCGCGGUAAUACGUAGGUGGCAAGCGUUGUCCGGAUUUAUUGGGCGUAAAGCGAGCGCAGGCGGUUUCUUAAGUCUGAUGUGAAAGCCCCCGGCUCAACCGGGGAGGGUCAUUGGAAACUGGGAGACUUGAGUGCAGAAGAGGAGAGUGGAAUUCCAUGUGUAGCGGUGAAAUGCGUAGAUAUAUGGAGGAACACCAGUGGCGAAGGCGGCUCUCUGGUCUGUAACUGACGCUGAGGCUCGAAAGCGUGGGGAGCAAACAGG
rnacentral:rRNA from 1 species